rnacentral:rRNA from 1 species
GGGGAAUAUUGCGCAAUGGGGGAAACCCUGACGCAGCAACGCCGCGUGGGUGAUGAAGGUCUUCGGAUUGUAAAGCCCUGUUUUCUGGGACGAUAAUGACGGUACCAGAGGAGGAAGCCACGGCUAACUACGUGCCAGCAGCCGCGGUAAUACGUAGGUGGCGAGCGUUGUCCGGAUUUACUGGGCGUAAAGGGUGCGUAGGCGGAUGUUUAAGUGGGAUGUGAAAUCCCCGGGCUUAACCUGGGGGCUGCAUUCCAAACUGGAUAUCUAGAGUGCAGGAGAGGAAAGCGGAAUUCCUAGUGUAGCGGUGAAAUGCGUAGAGAUUAGGAAGAACACCAGUGGCGAAGGCGGCUUUCUGGACUGUAACUGACGCUGAGGCACGAAAGCGUGGGUAGCAAACAGGAUUAGAUACCCUGGUAGUCCACGCCGUAAACGAUGGAUACUAGGUGUAGGGGGUAUCAACUCCCCCUGUGCCGCAGUUAACACAAUAAGUAUCCCGCCUGGGGAGUACGGUCGCAAGAUUAAAACUCAAAGGAAUGGACGG